GUGGCUGUAGCUCAGUUGGUCAGAGCGCUUGGUUGUGGUCCAAGAGGUCGUGGGUUCAAUUCCCAUCAGCCACCCCA
rnacentral:tRNA from 1 species